AUUCCCCUAGUAACGGCGAGUGAAGCGGGAACAGCUCAAAUUUGAAAUCUGGCCCUUGGGUCCGAGUUGUAAUUUGCAGAGGAUGCUUUUGGUGCGGUGCCUUCCGAGUUCCCUGGAACGGGACGCCUUAGAGGGUGAGAGCCCCGUACGGUUGGACACCAAGCCUAUGUAAAGCUCCUUCGACGAGUCGAGUAGUUUGGGAAUGCUGCUCAAAAUGGGAGGUAUAUUUCUUCUAAAGCUAAAUAUUGGCCAGAGACCGAUAGCGCACAAGUAGAGUGAUCGAAAGAUGAAAAGCACUUUGAAAAGAGGGUUAAAUAGCACGUGAAAUUGUUGAAAGGGAAGGAUUUAUGACCAGACUUUUUCUAGGGGGAUCAUCCGGUGUUCUCACUGGUGCACUUCCCCUAGUUGAGGCCAGCAUCGGUUUCUGUCGAGGGAUAAAAGCUUUAGGAAUGUGGCACCCUCCGGGGUGUGUUAUAGCCUGUUGCAUAAUACCUUGACGGGGACCGAGGUUCGCGCAUUGCAAGGAUGCUGGCGUAAUGGUUAUUAAUCACCCGUCU
rnacentral:rRNA from 1 species